rnacentral:rRNA from 1 species
UUAAGUUAGAAAGGGCGCACGGUGGAUGCCUUGACACUAGGAGUCGAUGAAGGACGGGACUAACGCCGAUAUGCUUCGGGGAGCUGUAAGUAAGCUUUGAUCCGAAGAUUUCCGAAUGGGGAAACCCACCAUACGUAAUGGUAUGGUAUCCUUAUCUGAAUACAUAGGGUAAGGAAGACAGACCCAGGGAACUGAAACAUCUAAGUACCUGGAGGAAGAGAAAGCAAAUGCGAUUUCCUGAGUAGCGGCGAGCGAAACGGAACAUAGCCCAAACCAAGAGGCUUGCCUCUUGGGGUUGUAGGACAUUCUAUACGGAGUUACAAAGGAACGAGGUAGACGAAGCGACCUGGAAAGGUCCGUCGUAGAGGGUAACAACCCCGUAGUCGAAACUUCGUUCUCUCUUGAAUGUAUCCUGAGUACGGCGGAACACGUGAAAUUCCGUCGGAAUCUGGGAGGACCAUCUCCCAAGGCUAAAUACUCCCUAGUGAUCGAUAGUGAACCAGUACCGUGAGGGAAAGGUGAAAAGCACCCCGGAAGGGGAGUGAAAGAGAUCCUGAAACCGUGUGCCUACAAAUAGUCAGAGCCCGUUAACGGGUGAUGGCGUGCCUUUUGUAGAAUGAACCGGCGAGUUACGAUCCCGUGCGAGGUUAAGCUGAAGAGGCGGAGCCGCAGCGAAAGCGAGUCUGAAUAGGGCGUUUAGUACGUGGUCGUAGACCCGAAACCAGGUGAUCUACCCAUGUCCAGGGUGAAGUUCAGGUAACACUGAAUGGAGGCCCGAACCCACGCACGUUGAAAAGUGCGGGGAUGAGGUGUGGGUAGCGGAGAAAUUCCAAUCGAACCUGGAGAUAGCUGGUUCUCCCCGAAAUAGCUUUAGGGCUAGCCUUAAGUGUAAGAGUCUUGGAGGUAGAGCACUGAUUGGACUAGGGGUCCUCAUCGGAUUACCGAAUUCAGUCAAACUCCGAAUGCCAAUGACUUAUCCUUAGGAGUCAGACUGCGAGUGAUAAGAUCCGUAGUCAAAAGGGAAACAGCCCAGACCGCCAGCUAAGGUCCCAAAGUGUGUAUUAAGUGGAAAAGGAUGUGGAGUUGCUUAGACAACUAGGAUGUUGGCUUAGAAGCAGCCACCAUUUAAAGAGUGCGUAAUAGCUCACUAGUCGAGUGACUCUGCGCCGAAAAUGUACCGGGGCUAAAUACACCACCGAAGCUGCGGAUUGAUACCGAAUGGUAUCAGUGGUAGGGGAGCGUUCUAAGGACAGUGAAGUCAGACCGGAAGGACUGGUGGAGUGCUUAGAAGUGAGAAUGCCGGUAUGAGUAGUGAAAGACGGGUGAGAAUCCCGUCCACCGAAUGCCUAAGGUUUCCUGAGGAAGGCUCGUCCGCUCAGGGUUAGUCAGGACCUAAGCCGAGGCCGACAGGCGUAGGCGAUGGACAACAGGUUGAUAUUCCUGUACCACCUCUUUAUCGUUUGAGCAAUGGAGGGACGCAGAAGGAUAGAAGAAGCGUGCGAUUGGUUGUGCACGUCCAAGCAGUUAGGCUGAUAAGUAGGCAAAUCCGCUUAUCGUAAAGGCUGAGCUGUGAUGGGGAAGCUCCUUAUGGAGCGAAGUCUUUGAUUCCCCGCUGCCAAGAAAAGCUUCUAGCGAGAUAAAAGGUGCCUGUACCGCAAACCGACACAGGUAGGCGAGGAGAGAAUCCUAAGGUGUGCGAGAGAACUCUGGUUAAGGAACUCGGCAAAAUGACCCCGUAACUUCGGGAGAAGGGGUGCUUUCUUAACGGAAAGCCGCAGUGAAUAGGCCCAAGCGACUGUUUAGCAAAAACACAGCUCUCUGCGAAGCCGUAAGGCGAAGUAUAGGGGGUGACACCUGCCCGGUGCUGGAAGGUUAAGGAGAGGGGUUAGCGUAAGCGAAGCUCUGAACUGAAGCCCCAGUAAACGGCGGCCGUAACUAUAACGGUCCUAAGGUAGCGAAAUUCCUUGUCGGGUAAGUUCCGACCCGCACGAAAGGUGUAACGAUUUGGGCACUGUCUCAACCAGAGACUCGGUGAAAUUAUAGUACCUGUGAAGAUGCAGGUUACCCGCGACAGGACGGAAAGACCCCGUGGAGCUUUACUGUAGCCUGAUAUUGAAUUUUGGUACAGUUUGUACAGGAUAGGCGGGAGCCUUUGAAACCGGAGCGCUAGCUUCGGUGGAGGCGCUGGUGGGAUACCGCCCUGACUGUAUUGAAAUUCUAACCUACGGGUCUUAUCGACCCGGGAGACAGUGUCAGGUGGGCAGUUUGACUGGGGCGGUCGCCUCCUAAAGUGUAACGGAGGCGCCCAAAGGUUCCCUCAGAAUGGUUGGAAAUCAUUCGUAGAGUGCAAAGGCAUAAGGGAGCUUGACUGCGAGACCUACAAGUCGAGCAGGGACGAAAGUCGGGCUUAGUGAUCCGGUGGUUCCGCAUGGAAGGGCCAUCGCUCAACGGAUAAAAGCUACCCCGGGGAUAACAGGCUUAUCUCCCCCAAGAGUCCACAUCGACGGGGAGGUUUGGCACCUCGAUGUCGGCUCAUCGCAUCCUGGGGCUGUAGUCGGUCCCAAGGGUUGGGCUGUUCGCCCAUUAAAGCGGUACGCGAGCUGGGUUCAGAACGUCGUGAGACAGUUCGGUCCCUAUCCGUCGUGGGCGUAGGAAAUUUGAGAGGAGCUGUCCUUAGUACGAGAGGACCGGGAUGGACGCACCGCUGGUGUACCAGUUGUUCUGCCAAGGGCAUAGCUGGGUAGCUAUGUGCGGAAGGGAUAAGUGCUGAAAGCAUCUAAGCAUGAAGCCCCCCUCAAGAUGAGAUUUCCCAUAGCGUAAGCUAGUAAGAUCCCUGAAAGAUGAUCAGGUUGAUAGGUUCGAGGUGGAAGCAUGGUGACAUGUGGAGCUGACGAAUACUAAUAGAUCGAGGACUUAACCAU